ACAGGAAACGUCUCCGCUCUAGAAGGGUCCAUAUUGGUGGUCAAUGAUCCCCAAUUUUCCAGUGCACCAACAAAGGAUCCAGAAAAUAAUAAGCUGCUAUGUGACAAAUGUGGAAAGAAAUACACAACAGAGGUUCAAAUGUGGACAAUGCCAGCAGGGGUUCAUGUCAAGAACGCUGUUCCGUUCACACAUUCUAAAGCACGCAGAGGAAAAACAGUACCAAUGUGGAGAAUGUCCUAAAAGAUAUGUUUACAAAAAAGACUUGAAGGCUUAUAUCAGAGCGAAACAUGAACAGCCUCGGAAUGCUUUCAAUUGUGAUCAUGACAAGUGCAAAAAGACAUAUACGUACAAACAAGGGCUACUGCAGCACAUAAGAAGUGAACACACCGGGAAAGCCUUUGUCUGUGAACUUUGCAGAACAACUUACUCAUAUAAAAGUAACUACCAA